rnacentral:rRNA from 1 species
AGAGUUUGAUCAUGGCUCAGAUUGAACGCUGGCGGCAGGCCUAACACAUGCAAGUCGAGCGCGAAAACACUUCGGUGUGAGUAGAGCGGCGGACGGGUGAGUAAUGCUUGGGAAUCUGCCCAGUAGUGGGGGAUAACGUGUGGAAACGCACGCUAAUACCGCAUACGUCCUACGGGAGAAAGCAGGGGAUCUUCGGACCUUGCGCUAUUGGAUGAGCCCAAGUCAGAUUAGCUAGUUGGUGAGGUAAUGGCUCACCAAGGCGACGAUCUGUAGCUGGUCUGAGAGGAUGAUCAGCCACACUGGGACUGAGACACGGCCCAGACUCCUACGGGAGGCAGCAGUGGGGAAUAUUGCACAAUGGGCGAAAGCCUGAUGCAGCCAUGCCGCGUGUGUGAAGAAGGCUCUAGGGUUGUAAAGCACUUUCAGUGGGGAGGAAAAGUUUAAGAUUAAUACUCUUGAACC